AACGAACGCUGGCGGCAUGCCUAACACAUGCAAGUCGAACGAAGGCUUCGGCCGUAGUGGCGCACGGGGGCGUAACGCGGGGGAAGCUGCACUUUUCUUCGGAAUAAUAGUUAGAAAUGACUGCUAAUGCCGGAAGAUGUCGCAAGACCAAAGAUUUAUCGGCAUAGGAUGAGCACGCGUAGGAUUAGCUUGUUGGGGGGGUAAAGGCCUACCAAGGCGACGAUCCUUAGCUGGUCAGAGAGGAUGGUCAGCCACACUGGGACUGAGACACGGCCCAGACUACUACGCGAGGCAGCAGUGGCUAAUAUUGCACUAUCGCCGAAAUCAUGAUCCACCAAUGCCGCGUGAGUACUGAAGGCCUUAAAGUUGUACAGCUCUUUUACCCGGGAUGAUAAUGACAGUACCGGGAGAAUAAGCUCCGGCUAACUCCGUG
rnacentral:rRNA from 1 species